rnacentral:lncRNA from 1 species
AACUCGUUGAAUACAUCAGUGUAGCGCGCGUGCGGCCCAGAACUUCUAAGGGCAUCACAGACCUGUUAUUGCCUCAAACUUCCGCGGCCUAAAAGGCCGUAGUCCCUCUAAGAAGCUGGCCGCGAAGGGAUACCUCCGCAUAGACAAACCUGUUAUUGCCUCAAACUUCCGCGGCCUAAAAGGCCGUAGUCCCUCUAAGAAUCUUGCCGCGAAGGGAUACCUCCGCAUAGCUAGUUAGCAGGCUGAGGUCUCGUUUGUUAACGGAAUUAACCAGACAAAUCGCUCCACCAACUAAGAACGGCCAUGCACCACCACCCAAAGGCGAACCGGUCGGCCCAUCCCAAAGUCCAACUACGAGCUUUUUAACUGCAACAACUUAAAUAUACGCAAUAGGAACUCGAAUUACCGCAGCUGCUGGCACCAGACUUGCCCUCUAAUGGAUCCUCGUUAAGGGAUUUAGAUUGUACUCAUUCCAAUUACCAGACUCAUAAAGCCCGGUAUUGUUAUUUAUUGUCACUACCUCCCCGUGUCGGCCUUGGCCACUACUGGUUCCUCACAGCCCGUCGACCCGCAUGAUCGUUUUGCUCGGACAUAGGCCAAUGACAAGGCCAUCACGCCCCAAUACUUGCCAAUGCCGUGCCAACAUCCGAUGACAAAAGUUAGUGGUCUAACAGUAGGUGUCACGGGGUCGAUUUUGGCCAACUCCAAAACCACGCCCAUGCGGCAGUCAAGUCCCGCGCUUGACUCAGCCUUCCGAAACACUUGCGAUUUUUCCAAGUUUGCACUUUGACGAAAUUAGGCAGCAAAAAAGAAUUUAAAUGAACACGAAUUAUACAGGAACAAAUUCCCAACCAUUAUAUUAAUAUAGAAAGAAUACAAAGGACCCUCACUUGCUAUGAACUAUCCGUCGCUCACAGUCCACUUUUGACCAAGAAGACCCCGUCGUUCUUUGCCAAACACUAAGAUCGUCCCACAACCUUAGCCCCUUUUUGAAACAAGUAGAACUCCCUCACGUUUCCCUCGUGUUUCCCAGCAAGUAAUUCCCUUGAACUUACUUCACUCAUUCUGCCUAAGCCUAAAGGUCCUAUUUAUUGGUCUUUAUGCUUAACCGCCCAUGACCAUGUUGUCUAACAGCUAUACAUCAUGCUUCCUAACUUGUAGUUGACAUCCCCAACUACUUAGGAUCAUGCUACACGAAAUGAGGCGACUAUACAACAAUAAUUAGUUCAUGGGGAUAAUGGGGGAACAUGGGAGAUCAUGGCCUACAAACAAGGUAACCGCCGCCAACUGCUUUCCAUGUGCUUCUCAUGUGCCAUAUCGUUGACCAGCUGCGUUUCGCCCCAAGGAUGCUCGUGCCAUGCCUUAGUCAAUUAGACAUUGCCCAUGCCAAUGUCUGCCGCAAUCCGUUGUCAUAAUAUUUCCCGAACAUGCCCGGCGCCCAUACACCUGCACACUGCCUUGGCCUAGUUUUCCGCCUUGCCCGUGCCAUGUUCCUUUCCCUCAUGUCUGCCUCAUUUCCCUCGUGCCAUUGUUUGUGUUUCCUUUCCAAUAGCCUAGUCUUAGCUAUUGAAAGCCUUUGCCGUCAACCCUCAUUUCCGCCUCGCCUUAGUUUAGCCCGUACUUAGCUGCCACAACCCAAUGGUGUAAUGCCCACUGCAUUUUGCGCGCAUGCCAUACCAUGCCGCCCCACUUUGCCGAUGCUGCCUCUCCAAGCCUGUCCCAAGCGCACCUUGCCGAUGCCAAGGCCUUGGCCACUACUUGUUCAUAACAACCUCUCGACCCGCGUGAUCGUUUUGCUCGCAAAUAUGCCAAUGACAAGGCCAUCACACCCCAAUCUUUGCCACAGCCGUGCCAACGUCCGAUGACAAAAGUUAGGGGUCUAACAAACCACCCGCACCUUUUGAAUUCGACGCCCUCAUCGAGCCGUCUAAUUUAUGAACUCCGAGGGAUUGUUCCCAAACACCCUUGCCGGUAAUGCUCCCGCAUACGCCACUGUGACAUUUGCCCCCGCCACUUUUUCCUGUCCCUCUGCAGCUAGUACCGCAUUUACCUUAGCCUGCAUCGGACAGUCCCUCUUCAAGUGCGGUCCCCCGCAAGUGAAACAGCCUGCGAACUUGCCGUUCCUUUCCUUGCCCUUGUGAUAUUCCGGUCUCACAAUCUAGACAAGUUCCCCACUUUCAGAAGCUUGGCCCUUCCCAUUCCUCUUCCCUUCCCUUGCCUUGUCCAUCCUUCCGUCAGACUUUGAAGGCGAAGUUUCAAUACUUUCCUUGCCCAUGUGAUAUUCCGGUCUCACAAUCUGGACAAGUUCCCCAUUUUCUGACGCUUGGCCCUACCCGUUCUUCUUCCAUUCCCUUGCCUUGUCCUUCUUUCCGUCGGACUUUGAAUGCGAAGUUUCAAUAGGUUCCUCACCUAUAUUCAGGUCUGCCAACGCAUCUGCCGCUGCAAUGGCAGUAGAGAGGCUUUGCACAUUUUGCCUUCUCAACUCCAAUUGCGCCCAUCCCUUCAACCCGCUCAUGAAGUAAUGCAGCUUGUCUUCUUCCACCAUAUUACUCACAUUGAGCAUCAAGGAUGAAAAUUCCUUGACAUACUCCCUUACCGUGCCACUUUGCUUCAAGUGACGCAGCCCAUCGCGUGCAUAGCUUGUCUUCCUCAGCAAUCUUACUCACAUUGAGCAUCAAGGAUGAAAAUUCCUUGACAUACACCCUUACCGUGCCACUCUGUUACAAGUGACGCAGUCCAUCUCGUGCCAUCCAAGACGAGUUUGUUGGAAGGAAUUGGGAUUUUAAUUCCUUCUUCAUCAAAUCCCAAGUUUCAAUCCUUGGCAGUCCAGCACCUUCUCCAUCUACACUUCGUGUACGCCACCACACCUUUGCAUCAUCCGUCAAGUACAUUGGUGUGAUCACCACCNNNNNNNNNNNNNNNNNNNNNNNNNNNNNNNNNNNNNNNNNNNNNNNNNNNNNNNNNNNNNNNNNNNNNNNNNNUUUAAUUCCUUCUUCAUCAACUCCCAAGUUUCAAUCCUUGGCAGUCCAGCACCUUCUCCAUCUGCACUUCGUGUACGCCACCACACCUUUGCAUCAUCUGUCAAGUACAUUGGUGUGAUCACCACCUUUUCAUCGUCGGCUAUACGUGCAGCCUGGAAAUACUGCUCCAUAUCCGAAAGUUAAUUUUCCAGUUCCUUGACACUUCUAGCACCACCAUAAGGCUUCGGCUGUGGAAUCUUCAACUUAGUGCGCUCAUCAUUUCUAGGGGCAGAAUUUUGUAAUGCCCUUCGAAGNNNNNNNNNNNNNNNNNNNNNNNNNNNNNNNNNNNNNNNNNNNNNNNNACCAAUUGUCACGGGGUCGAUUUUGGCCAACUCCAAAACCACGCCCAUGCGGCAGUCAAGUCCCGCGCUUGACUCAGCCUUUCGAAACACUUGCGAUUUUUUCAAGUUUGCACUUAGACGAAAUUAGGCAGCAAAACAGAAUUUAAAUGAACAUGAAAUAUACAGGAACAAAUUCCCAACCUUUAUAUUAGUAUAGAAAGAAUACAAAGGACCCUCACUUGCUAUGAACUCUCCGUCGCUCACAGCCCACUUUUGACCAAGAAGACCCCGUCGUUCUUUGCCAAACACUAAGAUCGUCCCACAACCUUAGCCCCUUUUUGAAACACGUAGAACUCCCUCAAGUUUCCCUCGUGUUUCCCAGCAAGUAAUUCCCUUGAACUUACUUCACUCAUUCUGCCUAAUCCUAAAUGUCCUAUUUAUAGGUCUUUAUUCUUAACCGCCCAUGACCCAUGUUGUCUAGCAGCUAUACAUCAUGCUUCCUAACUUGUAGUUGACAUCCCCAACUAUUUAGGAUCAUGCUACACGAAAUGGGGCCACUAUACAACAAUAAUCAGUGCAUGGGGAUAAUGGGGGAACAUGGGAGAUCAUGGCCUACAAACAAGGUAAUCGCCGCCAACUGCUUUCCAUGUGCUUCUCAUGUGCCAUAUCCUUGACCAGCUGCAUUUCGCCCCAAGGAUGCCCGUGCCAUGCCUUAGUCAAUUAGACAUUGCCCAUGCCAAUGUCCGCCGCAAUCCGCUGUCAUAAUAUUUCCCCCACACUGCCCGGCGCCCAUACACCAUGUGCACACUGCCUUGGCCUAGUUUUCCGCCUUGUCCGUGCCAUGUUCCUUCGCACAUGCCCGGCGCCCAUACACCUGCACACUGCCUUGGCCUAGUUUUCCGCCUUGUCUGUGCCAUGUUCCUUUCCCUCAUGUAUGCCUCAUUUCCCUCGUGCCAUUGUUUGUAUUUCCUUUCCAAUAGCCAAGUCUUAGCUAUUGAAAUCCUUUGCCGUCAACCCGGAUUUCCGCCUCGCCUUAGCUUAGCCCGUACUUAGCUGCCACAACCCAAUGGUGUCAUGCCCAUUGCCUUUGGCGCAUGCCAUACCAUGCCGCCCUACUUUGCCGAUGCUACCUCUCCAAGCCUGUACCAAGCGCACCUUGCUCAUGCCAAGGCCUUGGCCACUACUUGUUCAUCACAGCUUGUCGACCCGCAUGAUCGUUUUGCUCGCACAUAGGCCAAUGACAAGGCCAUCACACCCCAAUCCUUGCCAGAGCCGUGCCAACGCCCGAUGACAAAAGUUAGGGGUCUAACAGUAGGCCACUAUCCAACCAUCGAAAGUUGAUAGGGCAGAAAUUUGAAUGAUACAUCGCCAGCACGAUGGCCGUGCGAUCCGUCGAGUUAUCAUGAAUCAUCGCAGCAAUGGGCAUAGCCCGCGUCGACCUUUUAUCUAAUAAAUGCAUACCUUCCCGAAGUCGGGGCUUGUUGCACGUAUUAGCUCUAGAAUUACUACGGUUAUCCAAGUAGUAGAUGCCAUCAAACAAACUAUAACUGAUUUAAUGAGCCAUUCGCAGUUUCACAGUCUGAAUUUGUUCAUACUUACACAUGCAUGGCUUAAUCUUUGAGACAAGCAUAUGACUACUGGCAGGAUCAACCACGUAGCAUUCCUCAUUGACGCCGGCGUCGCAUGAGCGUGGCCGACCCAAAAGGGCACGGCCAAGUCCAAGGCGAGCACGACCAUUAUUCGUAAGGAGCAUUCUUUGGGCAGAUAGAGGCUAAUGAAGGCCCCGUGCCCAUUGCGUUUACCGAAUCCGAGAGCCCGAGCAUGCUAUGUCGUGGACCAAGCCAUCGCAAGGCGAAGCUAGGACGACCUGGGUGAACGCGAGGAGCAAAAGGUGACCGAUUGUACUUUAUAAUGCCUUGGCAUUAGGUAUGCAACACAGAAAACCAACGUCGAACAAGCCCAGUUUGCGCUUGUGACAUGACUGAGAUGGCAUGUGAGCUAGGACAUCACUGCUCGAGCCGGGAUCCAACCUAGCCUCACAAGCCGAACACCACUCAUGUGCCGCACGUACAAGUAGAACUCCCUCACGUUUCCCUCGUGUUUCCCAGCAAGUAAUUCCCUUGAACUUACUUCACUCAUUCUGCCUAAGCCUAAAGGUCCUAUUUAUUGGUCUUUAUGCUUAACCGCCCAUGACCAUGUUGUCUAACAGCUAUUGAUGCGCAGCCAUGUGUUUUUGCCGAUGCCAACAUUGCAAAGACAAGACAAGCCCCGCAAAGAACGAAUAGUGGGUUUGAACAAUGCCAGACACAACCCACAACAACCAAUGUCAAUCGGCAACUUACUAAGCUUCCCCUCGUGCGCACGGCACCUUGCGGCACUACUUGCAGGAUGCUUUGCAAUUUUGUUGCCAAAAGCCAUCAGCCGCCACGAGCGAUGUCGCCUCCCGAUGUUGCCCGCACAACCGAUGGCAAUCGGCAACAUACUAAGCUUCGCCUCGUUCGCACGGCACCUUGCGGCGCUACUUGCACGAUGCUUUGCCAUUUUGUUGCGAAAAGCCAUUAGCCGCCAUGAGCGAUGUCGCCUCCCGAUGUUGCCCGCAAAAACCGAUGGCAAUCAGUAACUUACUAAGAUUCGCCUCGUGCGCACGGCACCUUGCGGCACUACUUGCAUGAUGCUUUGCCAUUUUGUUGCCAGAAGCCAUCAGCUGCCACGAGCGAUAGUCCCCUCCCGAUGUUUCCCGCAACAACCGAUGGUAAUGAACAUCUACUGAGCUUCGCCACGUGCGCACGGCACCUUGCGGUGCUACUUGCACGAUGCUCCGCCAUUAGUUUUCAAAAGCCAAAGGCCGCCACGGAGACACAACCCACAACAAUCGAUGGCAAUAGGCAACUUACUAAGUUUCGCCCCAUGCGCACGGCUCCUUGCGGCGCUACUUGCACAACGCUCUGCCGUUCCAUUGCCGAAAGACAUCAACCGCCAUGAGCGAUGUUGCCCGCAACAACCAACGGCAAUCGACAUCUACUGAGGUUCGCCCCAUGCGCACGGCACCUUGCGGCACUAAUUGCACGAGGCUCCGCCGUUCUUAGUCGAAAGCCAUCAGCCGCAACGAGAGAUUCCAGACACAAGCCACAACAACCGAUGGCAAUCAACAACUUACUAUGCUUCAGCCCCUGCGCACGGCACCUUGCGACGCUACUCUGUUGUCGAAAGCCAUCAGCCGCCACGACUGAUGUCGCCUCCCGAUUUUUCCCGCAACAUCCAAUGGCGAUCAACAAGUACUAAGCUUCGCCCCAUGCGCACGGUACCUAGCGGCGCUACUUGCAUGACGCUCCAUCGUUCAUUGCCAAAAGCCAAUGUUUGCCACGAGCGGUGCCACCACCAGGCUUACUACGAGCCCACACGAGUACCUGCCGUAAUGGUUUGGGAACAUCGAGGACGUAGCACGGGCUUGUGCAUGCCCCCAAUGCCGAGCCCCAUGCCAGCGUCCCCCAUGCAUGCCCGCCCCUUCCUUGCAACAAGCACCUGAGGUGCCUUUCAACACCUGUACCUCCCUUAAAUAUGCUUAAAAAUAAACUACUUCCUAGCAGCAAGCUGAGGUGCCUUCCAACACCUCUACCCCCCUUAUAUAUGCUUAAAAAAAAAAUUCCAAGUUUCAGGAGUAGACAUGUUUUUUUCCAGAGAAUCAUAAUAGACAUGUACAACACCAAAUAGCACAAACUAAAGUAUAACAUGGCUAAUAUGUUCACAAAUUACUUUUAUACAUUGUAAAUGAUAUUUUUCACAAAAAAUAAUAUUUUUUGAAAUAUUUUUAUUUAAAAACGAAAAAUAUUUAAUAAAAUACUAAAAAAUAUGAAAAUUAUUACAAAAAUAGAAAAAAUGAUGGAGAAAAAUUCCAAUACAACUUGUAAUAGUAUAACAUAUAAAAGAGUAAAUAAAUACUAAAAAAUAUGAAAAUUAUUAUAAAAAUAGAAAAAAUGAUGGAGAAAAAUUCCAAUGCAACUUGUAAUAGUUUAACAUAUAAAAGAGUAAAUAUUUUUAUUAAAAAGCGACAUAAAAAUAAUUUAAAAUAACAAAAAAUGCAUAAAUAUUACUAAAACAUAUAUUAAAAAUNNNNNNNNNNNNNNNNNNNNNNNNNNNNNNNNNNNNNNNNNNNNNNNNNNNNNNNNNNNNNNNNNNNNNNNNNNNNNNNNNNNNNNNNN